AGCGAACGCUGGCGGCAGGCCUAACACAUGCAAGUCGAACGAACCUUUCGGGGUUAGUGGCGGACGGGUGAGUAACACGUGGGAACGUGCCUUUAGGUUCGGAAUAACUCAGGGAAACUUGUGCUAAUACCGAAUGUGCCCUUCGGGGGAAAGAUUUAUCGCCUUUAGAGCGGCCCGCGUCUGAUUAGCUAGUUGGUUGAGGUAAUGGCUCACCAAGGCGACGAUCAGUAGCUGGUCUGAGAGGAUGAUCAGCCACAUUGGGACUGAGACACGGCCCAAACUCCUACGGGAGGCAGCAGUGGGGAAUCUUGCGCAAUGGGCGAAAGCCUGACGCAGCCAUGCCGCGUGAAUGACGAAGGUCUUAGGAUUGUAAAAUUCUUUCACCGGGGACGAUAAUGACGGUACCCGGAGAAGAAGCCCCGGCUAACUUCGUG
rnacentral:rRNA from 1 species